GCUUACAGCCAUAUCAUGCUGAAUGCACUGGUUCUUGUCCAAUCACCAAAGUUAAGCAACAUCAAGCUUAGUGAGUGUUUUGAUGAGUGACUGCUUGGGAAACCUAGGUAUGGUAAGCA
rnacentral:rRNA from 1 species